rnacentral:rRNA from 1 species
UACGGAGGAUCCAAGCGUUAUCCGGAAUCAUUGGGUUUAAAGGGUCCGUAGGCGGUCUUGUAAGUCAGUGGUGAAAGCCCAUCGCUCAACGGUGGAACGGCCAUUGAUACUGCAGGACUUGAAUUACUAGGAAGUAACUAGAAUAUGUAGUGUAGCGGUGAAAUGCUUAGAUAUUACAUGGAAUACCAAUUGCGAAGGCAGGUUACUAACAAUAUAUUGACGCUGAUGGACGAAAGCGUGGGGAGCGAACAGG